AGUGAACGCUGGCGGUGCGCCUAACACAUGCAAGUCGAACGGGAUCUGAGGGUAGCUUGCUACCCGAUUUGAGAGUGGCGCACGGGUGCGUAACGCGUGAGCAACCUACCCAUAUCAGGGGGAUAGCCCGAAGAAAUUCGGAUUAACACCGCAUAAUAAUACGCUAACACAUGUUGAUGUAUUUAAAUAUUUAUAGGAUAUGGAUGGGCUCGCGUGACAUUAGCUAGUUGGUAAGGUAACGGCUUACCAAGGCGACGAUGUCUAGGGGCUCUGAGAGGGGAAUCCACCAAACUGGUACUGAGACACGGACCAGACUCCUACGGGAGGCAGCAGUAAGGAAUAUUGGUCAAUGGGCGCAAGCCUGAACCAGCCAUGCCGCGUGCAGGAUGACUGCCCUAUGGGUUGUAAACUGCUUUUGUUAGGGAGUAAACCUUCUUACGUGUAAGGAGCUGAAUGUACCUAAAGAAUAAGGAUCGGCUAACUCCGUGCCAGCAGCCGCCGUAA
rnacentral:rRNA from 1 species